GACGAACGCUGGCGGCGUGCCUAACACAUGCAAGUCGAACGGGGUAAUCCUUCGGGGUUACUUAGUGGCGAACGGGUGAGUAACGCGUGAGAAACCUGCCUUUCAGUGGGGGACAACAGUUGGAAACGACUGCUAAUACCGCAUGAUGUUAUUUGAGGGCAUCCUCGAAUAACCAAAGCUUUAUGUGCUGAAAGAUGGUCUCGCGUCUGAUUAGCUAGAUGGCGGGGUAACGGCCCACCAUGGCGACGAUCAGUAGCCGGUCUGAGAGGAUGAACAGCCACAUUGGGACUGAGAUACGGCCCAGACUGCUACGGGAGGCAGCAGUGGGGGAUAUUGGGCAAUGGGGGAAACCCUGACCCAGCAACGCCGCGUGAAGGAAGAAGGCCUUCGGGUUGUAAACUUCUUUUACCAGGGACGAACACAAUGACGGUACCUGGAGAAAAAGCAACGGCUAACUACGUGCCAGCCGCCGCGGUAACAC
rnacentral:rRNA from 1 species